rnacentral:lncRNA from 1 species
GGCAUGGUGCUUAGUUUAAACUGUUUUCUUGAGUCAUAAUUAGACGAGUUGUUUAGUUUUAUUCUUGAACUAAGAGGUGUGUUGAUUUUUACUUUCAAAGGCUUUUUAAAUUAAGCGUGGUGCUUAGGUUAAAAUGCCUUCCUAAAUCAAAUUAGACGUGGUGUCUAGGUUGAUUUUUGAGCCGAUAGUAUGCUGUAGUAGAUAUUGGAAUAUUUUGUUAGACUAACCCCUGCAGGAAAACUUCCAAAUUCAAAUUAGGAGAGUCCUGAGAUGAACACACACUGGAGAUGAAGAGAUACAAUAAUCUUGCACAAGGAAGAUAUAACUCACUCAU